CUUUUCCUCAUUUCUUCCAUCUUCCACCUAUUUAUUUUCCCUUGUCUCCAAAACUCUGAAGCUAAGGUGAACCUUCAAAUAAACUUUUAUUCCUUCCUUUCAGUGUUUGGAAAUAAAAUUCUUUGCUGGUGGUGCUAUAUAUAUGUUGCUUCCAUUCGAGAAGAUUGCUCCAAGAUUCUCCAUUUUCUCCAUCCAUAUGCUUCACAACUUGUUUGCUUCUUGGCUAAGGGAAGAUUUCCGAUUCUUCAUGAAAAUAUUUUGUGUUGAAUAUGAGCAUAUGUUACUUUGCCUGAAGUUGCAUGAUUGGAUUCUCUCGUGAUUAUAUUAUAUAUUUUUGCACUGAAAUUUUGUCUCUAAAUUUUUUGUAUUUGUUAAAAUAAAUAUUUACUUUGCCAAAGUAUUGGCUGAAAGUCUGGUUUCCGCAAAUCUGAGAAACUUGAGAAGUUGUAUGGAAUGCAUUUAGUUACAAUACCUACCUAAACAGUUAAUAAAUUAAAAUAGUUUUUAUGAACAAUGGUACAUAGACAUUUCAUUUUUUCUUACGUAUUUAACACUAUUAAAAUUAUAUUUUUAUUCUUAAAUAUAAUAUAAUUUAAGGAAGAAUAAAUAAAUAAGUAAAUAUAUUAGGUUUUUUAUGUGUGGAAUAGAUGUAGUUUCGUAGAAAAUUCGUGGAAAUUGAAGAACUUGAAGGAUACCAACCCUACGUAGCAUUGGUAUCAUACAACAGCCGACAAAAGAAAAACACCAAUUAAGAGAUGGUCCACCACAGAAAAUAAAUGACCAAUCAGUAUUUUGAUAGGACAAAUGAAAAUGCGAGGAAGAACAUGUGGUUCUGAUAGGUUCUGUAUUGUACACCAUUAUCCAAACAUAUAGAAUUCACCUUCAAACAAUCAUUGAAGUCUUUUACAGUUUUUUUCUCUUUCCUAACUUGUGACUUUUGAAGUGUCUAGGACUAGAGCAAGGAUUGGAUUAAGGCCCAAUUUAAUUUAGGUCUCCAAAAACAGUUUCCAAAAAUAUUGAUUUUGUUAUCUAUUGUAAAAACAUUCCCUAUAAGAGUACUAUAAAUGCUUUUUAUAAUUUAUAUUCUUUAAUAUCGAAAAGAAAUACUAAUACUAUUCUCAAAACAAUAUAUUAAAAAAUUAUGCUGUAAAGAAGCAAAAAAGCUUUUGGUAAAUAGUAAAUGGGUAAUCUUCAAAUAAACUUAUUUCUUUUGUAUAUAAAAAAUUAUAAAUAGCAAACUUUUUUGUAUAAGUGUGUGAUGUAUAAUAUAUUUGUAAAAAAUAUUAGUGCAUUUUAUAUGUGAUUUCUCUUUUCUUGCGUGCAUGACUUAAUCAGACGAUAACAGCGUUCGUUAGUGAAAAUUUUAUUGUACCAGUUUAUUAGAAUUGAAAAUGAAAAUAGAGAUAAAAUUAAGAAAGAAUUGUGAGAUAAAAAAAAUUACUGAUAGAUUUUUUAAAAUUUAAAUUGGUUUGGUAAAUUUAAAUUAAAUUAUACUCAGCAACUAAUUUCCAACAUCAAUUUUAAAUACUGUCUUCAUUUCCCGUACUUACAAAGACCAAUGUGAUUAAGAAAAAAAAAACUCACAAAGACCAAUAGUGCUUUAAACUGAUUUUCUUAAACAUGAUUUGAUCCGAGUUUAUUUUAAACAACUACAUAAAUAUAUUAUAUAGUAUAAUAUAUAUAACAAUAAGGUUACCUAAUCCUUCUAAAAAAUAAACUUUAACUCCAACAAGUUGUUUUUCAUAAUUGUAAAAACUAACUUCUGGUCCCAAUCGUACUAGCUGCAACUGAUGAAAGAACAGUUCUGAUCUUAAUUAAACUAAACUAAUUACAUUUAGAUGAAUCCUUAAUGAAUCUGUUUAGAACAUGUCACGCACAUUUAAAAAUGUGUGAAACUGAAACGAAGGAGAAAUCAUAUGGGAAAGAAGAGUAGAACAUAUAGCUAUUAACAUCAAACAGUUCGAUAUGGUGUCCAUGCAUGCAUACCAACAAUAAACAUAGUCUUGAGAUACAUGAUAAAUAAAUUGCAUGAUAACAAUAACUGUCUGUAAAAUCCAUACUUUUUCUCUCUCUUGAAUGUCAACAAGGACUUUGGUGUUCAUUCAUUAUGUUUCCCCAGCAAAUUUGUAUAACCAUCGUAGUUUUGGACUCCGUUCUUUCCAUUGUUGUAGGCACGACGAAUUGCUUUGCGCUCCUCAGAAUUGCCAAUUUUUGCACCCCUGUAAGUUUGUGAGUAUAUGCUCAUGUUGUUAAAGGCAUCUUCACUUUUAGAAGUCCAAAUGUUUGCACCGCUGAGAGCUUGUAGGCCCGAUGCAUGGUUGUUAUAGGAAUCUCUACUUGUAGAACUGUUAACCUCACAAUAGCUGUAAUCUUGCUCCCCGUCGCCAUAGUUGUUAAAGCAGUUAUCAAUUGCAUAGCCAUGGUCAACAGAAUUGACAGUUUGGCUGCCAGUAAUGACGGAAGCAUACAAUCUUCGAUUCUCUUUGUAGUUGCCAUGUCGGUUAGGGUUAUUGGUUUCUGUGUUCCUUGUCUCUUUAUCUUUCCCACUGAAACUAGCUUCCAGAAAAUUUUUGGUUUCGCCACGAUUCACGUGGCUCUCUCUUUCCUUACCCUUGGCGUUUAAUUUCUCUGUGGUUUUCAUUAGCCAUUUGUUAGCGGCAUCUAGACAAAAAAUGAGGACACAAGCUGCGAAUACAAGAAGCGAAAAGAGCAUAGCGAUGAACGCAGAUAUAACAGAUAGAGCUCGGCUAAUGACGACGAAUGGGGAAGCUUCAAAAAUUGGCUUGUCCAAGGAGAGUUCUGCAAUGUUUUUAGAGUUUGAAGAAUAAAAAGGUGAUCAAAGAUUACUCUUCUUCUACUAAAGCAAAUUUGAAUGGAUUCUAGCAAAGAGGAGUGAGAAUAUUCAAAGUAAUUAAUAUGAAUGAAUCCGUUCAUGUAAAGAAGAGUAUGUACCUUCAAAUUCCACGGACUUGGUUUUGGUCCUGGUUGUUGGAGCUACAGGUUCAACAGGUUCCCAAAUUGGUUCCUACAACAUGAGUUUCUUAAAAGAUUAAUAAAUAAAUUUGUGGCUAGAAGAAGGAUAUAGGGUACUAUAAUGAUAUUAUAAAAUAUAUGCAUAACAAAGGUGUUAUAACUAUAUUUAACAAAACACAACUUCAUACAUAUUAUAUAUGAUUUCAAUUUUUUGUGUUAUAUUAGGCGUAUCACUUGUUUAGUUGGAAAAUGGGGAAUACAGAAUAUGCUUCAUUAUUUUUGUUUGUAUUAUAUCCGGGAUUACAACUUAUUUUAGUGAAGAAUGGUUGUAAUAAAGAAAGAGAGAAAAAGUUAACAAUAUAUAUAUAACAUUGAUUAGGAGAGGAAAAAAAAAAGGAUACACAAAGUAACUGAUGAUAAAAUAUUAAGGGAAUGGGAAGAUAUGUGAAAGACGGUCACACCUAUUGCAGCUACCCAAGAGAAGAAGUCUGUGUCGUAGUUUUGUCAUCAUGUCUUAAUCUUUUACCCCGUCAUUAAUUUGAGACAGCCCUAAUCAGUUUUCACUUUAUGAGUUUACCUAAUCAUUGAUUUCGAUCUCAACGGAUCAUUGUUUUAUACCAUAAUUUGUGUUAGCCCAUAUUGUCUAAGGACAAGAUCCAACACCUGCCAGAGCAUCCCAGGAGUAGAAAACUUGGAGCUCGAAACCCUUUGCGAAUAUAGAAAUUUUAAUGUAGUAAACGGGAAGCAAUUAAGAGAGAGACAGGGAAAAGGACUGAACUCUUAUAAAAAGAAAAAGGGUUUUGGUUUAUCUCCUUACACAACAGCGUCGAUCUCGUGGAUCAGCCAUGUACAACGAAAAGGAAAAAGACUACAUGGUAGGUGCCCUAUAACUGUAUGACAAGAAGGGAAAAAUUGGUCCAAUUUCCAAAAAAAAAUUAGAUCCACCGUUAGAACAGACGAAGAUGUAAAAAUAGGGUUUCAAUGAAACCUCUAAGCUUUAAUUGGAGAACCAAAACUGAACCUCCAUGUCUACAAACGAGUGAAAACAAGCUUGAGAUGUUUGUGUUAUGGGUUUCUCUAGUGCGGAUCUUCAAUUCACCAACUCAGGCACAAGAUUGAUAGUGUUACAGAAGUACAGAAGUAAUCAUUUUUCUUUUUUUUCAUUUUUCGUUGAUUAGAAAGAGAGUUGAAAGCACAGAAGUAAAUAUAACAGAUCUAAUAAUUAGUAACACUAAUAUGAGAGGAAAAUGAAACAGGAACAGCAAGAAAAUAUUCUUUAGAUGCAAGCUUGGGAACUCAUACCUUAACUGAAUUCUCCUUCAUUUCCAUCAAACUAUGCAGAAAGACGCUCCUUUCUAUUUUCUGCAGGAGAGAGAGAGAGAGAGAGAGAGAGAGAGAGAGAGAGAGAGAGAGAGAGAGAGAGAGAGAGAGAGAGAGAGAA